CGCCCCUGAUGGGUCGUCUGCAUGCUCUUUGUACUGUACCUGAUCACAUAACUUGUUCAUUUAUAAAAAAGUUUCUCUUGUUCAUUUAAAUAUGUUAAGAUUAUUUAUAUGUAUAUAAUUUCAAAAGUAUAUUAUUAUACAAAAUAUUUUGUUCUACCUCUGUAAAAAUUCUCACGUGUGAAUAAAGUAUGCUGUCUGUGGCAUUUAGUGAACACUGCAAAA